rnacentral:rRNA from 1 species
GACGAACGCUGGCGGCGUGCUUAACACAUGCAAGUCGAACGGAAAGGCCCUGCUUUUGUGGGGUGCUCGAGUGGCGAACGGGUGAGUAACACGUGAGUAACCUGCUCUUGUCUUUGGGAUAACUUCAGGAAACUGGGGCUAAUAUCGGACAGGAGCUCCCGCUGCAUGGAGGGGGUUGGAAAGUCUCGGCGGUCGGGGAUGGACUCGCGGCUUAUCAGCUUGUUGGUGGGGUAGUGGCUUACCAAGGCUUUGACGGGUAGCCGGCCUGUGAGGGUGACCGGCCACAUUGGGACUGAGGUACGGCCCAGACUCCUACGGGAGACAGCAGUGGGGAAUAUUGCACAAUGGGCGGAAGCCUGAUGCAGCGACGCCGCGUGCGGGAUGACGGCCUUCGGGUAGUAAACCGCUUUCGCCUGUGACGAAGCGUGAGUGACGGUAAUGGGUGAAGAAGCACCGGCUAACUACGUG